rnacentral:lncRNA from 1 species
GGGGGUGGCUGUUGCAAAGGCAGAGAGUGAGAAGUGAUGACGGUGAUCGUUGUCGCCGCGUCUUCUGUGGAACCCAAGCAGUGCCGAAGGAAGUCGCAAGGCUCUUCCCCGACCUUUUGCUCCUCUCCCUGCGCGAGAUGCUGAGAUCCAAAGUCCAGGUCUCUGCUGCAGCAGUACUCUGAUACACUGAACUCUGAUACAGCACUACUCUGAUACACUGAACUCUGAUACAGCAGUACUCGGAUACACUGAACUCUGAUACAGCAGUACUCGGAUACACUGAACUCUGAUACAGCACUACUCUGAUACACUGAACUCUGAUACAGCAGUACUCUGAUACACUGAACUCUGAUACAGCAGUACUCGGAUACACUGAACUCUGAUACAGCAGUACUCGGAUACACUGAACUCUGAUACAGCAGUACUCGGAUACACUGAACUCUGAUACAGCAGUACUCUGAUACACCGAACUCUGAUACAGCAGUACUCUGAUACACUGAACUCUGAUACAGCAGUACUCUGAUACACCGAACUCUGAUACAGCAGUACUCGGAUACACUGAACUCUGAUACAGCAGUACUCUGAUACACCGAACUCUGAUACAGCAGUACUCGGAUACACUGAACUCUGAUACAGCAGUACUCUGAUACACUGAACUCUGAUACAGCAGUACUCUGAUACACUGAACUCUGAUACAGCAGUACUCGGAUACACUGAACUCUGAUACAGCAGUACUCGGAUACACUGAACUCUGAUACAGCAGUACUCGGAUACACUGAACUCUGAUACAGCAGUACUCUGAUACACUGAACUCUGAUACAGCAGUACUCUGAUACACUGAACUCUGAUACAGCAGUACUCGGAUACACUGAACUCUGAUACAGCAGUACUCGGAUACACUGAACUCUGAUACAGCAGUACUCGGAUACACUGAACUCUGAUACAGCAGUACUCGGAUACACUGAACUCUGAUACAGCAGUACUCGGAUACACUGAACUCUGAUACAGCAGUACUCGGAUACACUGAACUCUGAUACAGCAGUACUCGGAUACACUGAACUCUGAUACAGCAGUACUCUGAUACACUGAACUCUGAUACAGUUCUUCAGUACAGAGCCAUCUCUAGCCUCUCUGACUUGGUUGUCUGUGUCUGCAGGACCUCAGAUUGUACCUGCCCCCCAGCCUUGAGCAGCCCACCUAGAGGGUGGAGUCUUCUGACCUUGGUGGAGUCUAUUGUAUGCCGCAUCUGCAGCUUCCUGUAAGAAGCCACUACUUGCUGAGCAGCUGAGUUUUCCUUCCAGAUGAGAUUCUGGCAAAGUAGGGGAUAGGCUCCCCACCCCCGCCCUUUAAAUUCAGACCUUAGAAUUAAAACAUUGAGCCUUGAUCAGAGAACUA